rnacentral:lncRNA from 1 species
AUAAACAUAAAAAUGCAUUUUCCGUAUUUCCUAAUAGAGUGAAAUUGCAAAGAUGUCAGCAGUUCAACAAGCCUCUCAGGAGACUGACUACACGCACUCACCCUUCUGGUUUUCUGGGAGCUAGAGCCUCACCAAAGGAGAUGAUAGCUAGGAAAGAAGAAAAUCACACAACGGCAAGGACAGAGGAUUCACCAUCUGUAUAUACUUUUCUACCCUGCUGUGUGGCCUG